rnacentral:rRNA from 1 species
GUUAAAGUCUGAAGUUAAAGGCUGUGGCUCAACCAUAGUUCGCUUUGGAAACUGUCAAACUUGAGUGCAGAAGGGGAGAGUGGAAUUCCAUGUGUAGCGGUGAAAUGCGUAGAUAUAUGGAGGAACACCGGUGGCGAAAGCGGCUCUCUGGUCUGUAACUGACGCUGAGGCUCGAAAGCGUGGGGAGCGAACAGGAUUAGAUACCCUGGUAGUCCACGCCGUAAACGAUGAGUGCUAGGUGUUGGAUCCUUUCCGGGAUUCAGUGCCGCAGCUAACGCAUUAAGCACUCCGCCUGGGGAGUACGACCGCAAGGUUGAAACUCAAAGGAAUUGACGGGGGCCCGCACAAGCGGUGGAGCAUGUGGUUUAAUUCGAAGCAACGCGAAGAACCUUACCAGGUCUUGACAUCCCGAUGCUAUUUCUAGAGAUAGAAAGUUACUUCGGUACAUCGGUGACAGGUGGUGCAUGGUUGUCGUCAGCUCGUGUCGUGAGAUGUUGGGUUAAGUCCCGCAACGAGCGCAGUCGACGCGGCCG